rnacentral:hammerhead_ribozyme from 13 species
AAAAAGUACGCGCACUGCUGACGAGUCCCUAACAGGACGAAACUGUUG